GGGCCUGUAGCUCAGCUGGUUAGAGCGCGGUCCUGAUAAGACCGAGGUCUCUGGUUCGAAUCCAGACAGGCCCACCA
rnacentral:tRNA from 1 species